GGGCCCGCACAAGCGGUGGAGCAUGUGGUUUAAUUCGAUGCAACGCGAAGAACCUUACCUACCCUUGAAAUCCUCAGAAUUCUCUAGAGAUAGAGAAGUGCCUUCGGGAACUGAGUGACAGGUGCUGCAUGGCUGUCGUCAGCUCGUGUCGUGAGAUGUUGGGUUAAGUCCCGUAACGAGCGCAACCCCUACUCUUAAUUGCCAGCGGUUCGGCCGGGAACUUUAAGAGAACUGCCGGUGAUAAACCGGAGGAAGGUGGGGAUGAUGUCAAGUCAUCAUGGCCCUUACGGGUAGGGCUACACACGUGCUACAAUGGACAGUACAGAGGGCUGCAAACCCGCGAGGGGAGCG
rnacentral:rRNA from 1 species